GUUGUGAGGCGUUGAGCUAACCUGUACUAAUUGCCCGUGAGGCUUAACCAUACAACACCCAAGGGGUUUUGUA
rnacentral:rRNA from 1 species